CUGCCGCGGGGGGUUCGGUCCCGCCUGGUUCCUGCUCCCGGCGAUCGGCGAGCAGCAGAGGCAGCAGGCCAUCUGUCAAACGCCCGCCGGUGACCGUGGCCCCAAUCCCCCCACAACGGUGGGAGGCGGGGGCCCAGCGGGGACCCACGGGGAAGGGAAGUGCACCAGGGUUCGCUACAGAUUCCUCUCGGAGACAACAAACAACACCCCGGUGAUCGGGGGCCGCGCCGGCAGCAAGGCGGCCGCAAGUUGGGGGGUACGGGACCCCCGGAAGAAAGUCGGCACUCACACCGAGGGCUCGCCGCCGAAACCCUCGUCGAUCCCCGCGCAGGCCCCCUCUGGGGACCCCUGCCGAGACCCCCGGGAAGGAGGGGGCCUGUGUGAGCCGCUGUCCCUGCCCGCGCUCGAGGGCGCGCGGCCGCGUGGUGCGGGCGCUGGGGCGCGGCGCGUUCCGGAACGGCGCGGCGCGCGUGUGGCUCGUGGACGAGGCAGCCGCUCGCCGCUUCUCCUGAGUGACGUUACACGGCAAGUCCUCGCUUAACGCGGUAGAUGCGUUCCUAAAAAGUGUCGCGUCAAGCGGGUAAACAUUUUUUCCCCCCAUAAAUAAUGUAGCGAUAACGUUCGGCGAGAUAGGACGAACAACUACGCACACACGCAGUGAGAUGGCGUGACAAAUACCUGAGGGUACGCCGCGCGUUACUGUUUCAUUCCGCGUGUUGUAUCGUAGCGC